GGUUAUUCUACCGAGGUCUGGCUCGAACCAGUGUUCACGGACACAGGGCUAUUCUACCGAGGCCCGGCUCGAACCAGUGUUCCCGGCCACAGGGUUAUUCUACCGAGGCCCGGCUCGAACCAGUGUUCACGGACACAGGGUUAUUCUACCGAGGCCCGGCUCGAACCAGUGUUCACGGGCACAGGGUUAUUCUACCGAGGCCCGGCUCGAACCAGUGUUCACGGGCACAGGGUUAU